AGACCUACAAGUCGAGCAGGGACGAAAGUCGGGCAAAGUGAUCCUACGGCACCGUGUGGAAGGGCCGUGGCUUAUCGGAUAAAAGCUACCCCGGGGAUAACAGGCUUAUCUCGCCCAAGAGUUCACAUCGACGGCGAGGUUUGGCACCUCGAUGUCGGCUCGUCCCAUCCUGGGGCUGAAGGCGGUCCCAAGGGUCCGGCUGUUCGCCGGUUAAAGGGGUACGUGAGUUGGGUUCAGAACGUCGUGAGACAGUUCGGUCUCUAUCCGCCGUGGGCGCAGGAGGCUUGAGGGAACCUCUCCCUAGUACGAGAGGACCGGGAGGGACAGACCUAUGGUGUUCCAGUUGUUCCGCCAGGAGCAGCGCUGGGUAGCCAUGUCUGGCAGCGAUAAGCGCUGAAGGCAUCUAAGCGCGAAGCAUCCCCCAAGAUGAGGCCUCCCUUCCCGAUUAAUUUCGGGAGUAAGACUGCAGAGAGACUAUCUGCUUGAUAGGUCGGAUGUGUAAGGCUGGCAACAGUUUCAGCAUACCGAUACUAACCGGUCGAGAGAUUUGACCCA
rnacentral:rRNA from 1 species